rnacentral:rRNA from 1 species
UACGUAGGGUGCGAGCGUUUGUCCGGAAUUAUUGGGCGUAAAGAGCUCGUAGGCGGAUUGUUAAGUCAGAGGUGAAAUCCCGGAGCUCAACUUCGGAACUGCCUUUUGAUACUGGCAAUCUAGAGUCCGGAAGAGGUUAGUGGAAUUCCCAGUGUAGAGGUGAAAUGCGUAGAUAUCUGGAGGAACACCGGGUGGCGAAGGCGGCAUCCUGGACCGGCAUUGACGCUGAGGCGGCGAAAAGCUAGGGGGAGCAAACGGGG